rnacentral:rRNA from 1 species
GCAUGUCGAGGGGUAACAUUGUAGCUUGCUACAGAUGACGACCGGCCCACGGGUGCGUAACGCGUAUAGAACCUACCUUUUACAGGGGGAUAUCCUUUAUAAAUGAAGAUUAAUACACCAUAGUAUUGCGAGAUGGCAUCAUUUUGUAAUUAAAGAUUUAUCGGUAAAAGAUGGCUAUGCGUCCUAUUAGUUAGUUGGUGAGGUAACGGCUUACCAAGACAUCGAUAGGUAGGGGUCCUGAGAGAGAGAUC